UACGUAGGUGGCAAGCGUUGUCCGGAAUCACUGGGCGUAAAGGGCGCGUAGGCGGUGCGAGAAGCGUGUGGUGAAAGGCCGGGGCUCAACCCCGGCUCGGCCGUGCGGACUCUCGCGCUUGGUGAGUGCUGUAGAGGCGGGCGGAAUUCCGGGUGUAGCGGUGGAAUGCGUAGAGAUCCGGAAGAACACCGGUGGCGAAGGCGGCCCGCUGGGCAGUGACUGACGCUGAGGCGCGGACAGCGUGGGGAGCAAACAGG
rnacentral:rRNA from 1 species